GACGUGGGCGAAGCCUGAUCCAGCCAUGCCGCGUGGUGUGAAGAAGGUCUUCGGAUUGUAAAGCACUUUAAGUUGGGAGGAAGGGCAUUAACCUAAUACGUUAGUGUUUUGACGUUACCGACAGAAUAAGCACCGGCUAACUCUGUGCCAGCAGCCGCGGUAA
rnacentral:rRNA from 1 species